GGCUGGUCCGAUGGCAGUGGGUUAUCAGAACUUAUUAACAUCAGUGUCACUAAAGUUGGUAUACCACCCCCCCCACUGCUAAAUUUGACUGGCUUUAA
ensembl:misc_RNA Y_RNA Y RNA